rnacentral:rRNA from 1 species
UACGUAGGGGGCAAGCGUUGUCCGGAAUCAUUGGGCGUAAAGGGCUCGUAGGCGGUUCGUCACGUCGGGAGUGAAAACUCGGAGCUUAACUCCGAGCCUGCUUCCGAUACGGGCAGACUAGAGGUAGGCAGGGGAGAGCGGAACUCCUGGUGUAGCGGUGGAAUGCGCAGAUAUCAGGAGGAACACCGGUGGCGAAGGCGGUUCUCUGGGCAUUACCUGACGCUGAGGAGCGAAAGCAUGGGGAGCGAACAGG